rnacentral:rRNA from 1 species
CAGUAGCCGCGGGAAUACGUAGGUGGCGAGCGUUGUCCGGAAUCAUUGGGCGUAAAGGGAGCGCAGGCGGGCAUGUAAGUCUUUCUUAAAAGUGCGGGGCUCAACCCCGUGAUGGGAAAGAAACUACAUGUCUUGAGUACAGGAGAGGAAAGCGGAAUUCCCAGUGUAGCGGUGAAAUGCGUAGAUACUGGGAGGAACACCAGUGGCGAAGGCGGCUUUCUGGACUGCAACUGACGCUGAGGCUCGAAAGCCAGGGGAGCGAACGGGAUUAGAUACCCCAGUAGUCCCUGUCUCUUAUACA